rnacentral:lncRNA from 1 species
UGUACACUUUCAUUCAAACUCAUGGCUAUAAUUGACAUGUGCAUAGAGAUGACUGUCAAAUAUCUUUAUCACUCCUAAAUCUUUUUACUGAGUUUUCAUCUUGUAUAGGACUUACACACCUGGGUAUCUUAAUUGUAUGCUUUCUAAUGAUAUCAUAGAAUCUUCCAUAGUAUAAAUACUUCCAUUUUAAAGCUCCUUAAGACCAUAUACAAGGUUAUGCAUCCAUUAUCUAUUAUGUCCUAAUGUUCCAACCUUAUCUCUUACUCUACCUCUUAUUUUCCAGCUGCCCGGACUCCUUGCAGAUCCUGAAUGCACCAGGCAACUUCAUGCUGUGUCCUACGCCAUCGUUGUGCAAGGAAAUGACCUCCACAUCUUUUAUUCACUUCAUGUGGUUACGGAUCUGGAGACACAGCUUCUGUCCAUACUCUGAACAUCUGGGAAAGGGACUAGCAAACCACUGUGCAGCCAGUUCCUUCAAGGGAUCCAUCACCAACAAGCUACCAUCAGAAGAAUUUCAAGAAUAGUGAGUCAAAUAUUAUUCAUUUCCUAAUGAAGACCAUCUCUAUAUACUUUCAGAUCUCAGAAUAUAAAAUUCAUCUAGAGCAAACAUAUAAUACUCAUGGUAUUUUGUGUAUAUAAAAAUAUAUUUCCUCUUGAGAAUGGAUGAGGAAAGCAAGUGUCCAAUUUUAUAUUCCACUAGGCUGUGCCUUCAGCCUAAUCUAGUAACAAUUUUAUAAGAAUCAAUUACUGAGCCAGAAUUAGAUUGUUACGCGAUUUUGAUGAUA